rnacentral:tRNA from 10 species
GGGCUAUUAGCUCAGUGGUAGAGCGCGCCCCUGAUAAUUGGGCGAGGUCUCUGGUUCAAGUCCAGGAUGGCCCA